rnacentral:rRNA from 1 species
AACGAACGCUGGCGGCAUGCCUAACACAUGCAAGUCGAACGAGACCUUCGGGUCUAGUGGCGCACGGGUGCGUAACGCGUGGGAACCUGCCCUUAGGUUCGGAAUAACUCCCCGAAAGGGGUGCUAAUACCGGAUAAUGUCUUCGGACCAAAGAUUUAUCGCCUUUGGAUGGGCCCGCGUUGGAUUAGCUAGUUGGUAGGGUAAAAGCCUACCAAGGCGACGAUCCAUAGCUGGCCUGAGAGGAUGAUCAGCCACACUGGGACUGAGACACGGCCCAGACUCCUACGGGAGGCAGCAGUGGGGAAUAUUGGACAAUGGGCGAAAGCCUGAUCCAGCAAUGCCGCGUGAGUGAUGAAGGCCUUAGGGUUGUAAAGCUCUUUUACCCGGGAUGAUAAUGACAGUACCGGGAGAAUAAGCUCCGGCUAACUCCGU